UUCCGGUAGGGGUGACCUGCGGAGGGAUCAUUACCGAGUUUACAACUCCCAAACCCAAUGUGAACGUUACCAAACUGUUGCCUCGGCGGGAUCUCUGCCCCGGGUGCGUCGCAGCCCCGGACCAAGGCGCCCGCCGGAGGACCAACCAAAACUCUUAUUGUAUACCCCCUCGCGGGUUUUUUUACUAUCUGAGCCAUCUCGGCGCCCCUCGUGGGCGUUUCGAAAAUGAAUCAAAACUUUCAACAACGGAUCUCUUGGUUCUGGCAUCGAUGAAGAACGCAGCGAAAUGCGAUAAGUAAUGUGAAUUGCAGAAUUCAGUGAAUCAUCGAAUCUUUGAACGCACAUUGCGCCCGCCAGUAUUCUGGCGGGCAUGCCUGUCCGAGCGUCAUUUCAACCCUCGAACCCCUCCGGGGGGUCGGCGUUGGGGAUCGGCCCUUUACGGGGCCGGCCCCGAAAUACAGUGGCGGUCUCGCCGCAGCCUCUCCUGCGCAGUAGUUUGCACACUCGCAUCGGGAGCGCGGCGCGUCCACAGCCGUUAAACACCCCAAACUUCUGAAAUGUUGACCUCGGAUCAGGUAGGAAUACCCGCUGAACUUAAGCAUAUCAAUAAGCCGGAGGAA
rnacentral:rRNA from 1 species